AAUGUUUUUGUAGGAUCUUUUGAUCUCCUCUUUCAUCCGUUAAUUUUUUGUAAUAUGAUAUUGUAAACCCUAAUUUUUAGGGCAAAUUUGUUUGUUUGGUUUUUAAAUGUUACUGGAAGGUGUCUAAUGAAUCAUAUAACCAGAUUCAAUCAUCAUCAUGUUGCUAACGCGGAUUUUUAAUAAUUAUGUUUUUCAUCAUUUUAUUCCAUGUUUAUAUGCUUAUAUGCUGAUAGUAACAUUAUUUUUACUUAGUAGUUUUAUGGUAUAUUCGAUAACCUUUUUUGGCUCUUCUAAACUCCCAUCGGAUUGCUCAUAGAUGUUUGUUUGUUAUUGAAUGGGUAUAUUUGUCAUUAGUAUCACUAUUAAAAUGCGUUUGGCUGAAACCAUUUUUUUUUUAGAAUUUUAGGUGUUUUUUGCUUUUAUGCUACUUUGAUUAUGCAGCCCAUUCAAGUUUUAUGCUACUGAUUAUGCAGCCCAUUCAUAAAUAAUGAUGUUAUGUUGCUGCAUAUGCUGUAAUUUGGAUGUUCACUAGACCGUCAGUUUCCUUCUCUAUUAUCGUAUUAAGUUGUUGCGGCUAUGAGGUGGGACCUGGUGGCCGCAUAUUUCCUCAUCCCAAUCUUAGGAUGUUUAGCUUGUGAGUCGUUGCACGAUCAUUCUCUAACCACCUCUUUUGCAACCAGGUUCGGUAUGCUAUGGGUUUUAAUCUUGAUGGAUGUUGCAUUGCAUCUUGAUGUGAAUUUGCGUAAAAAGUUAACUCUUUGUUAGAUUGUUGUAAGAAUCAUGCUCGCUGCUCUUUUUUUUUUAUGAGAUUGAAAAAAGGUAAAAUGUGGUUUCAAAGUAAGUGAUACAGAUUAUGGUGAAAAUCUUAACAUUUUGAAAAUUUAUAUGUUUUUUCUUAUGGGCUCAUGCUAUGAAGAUGAGGAGGGGGACAGGCUCAGAGGCAGGGUUGAGGUCGAGGCCAAACGCGAGGUCAAGGCUGAGGAUGGGGUUCCUUUAGGCUGUAAUGACCAGGAGGAUGUUACAGCGCCUAUGCAAGAAAAUAAAGAAUCAUAAGAACCGAUUCCCAUGAACUAGAAAGACAUUGAGCAGCUACAAGCAAUUGCAGACAUCUUGAAGUGUUCUAAAUAUUUGAAGUUACUAUGAAGGACUAGAUAGGCGGAAGAGUUGCCUCCUUCAACAUUAUUCUAAGCGGCACUGGAGCUACUAAGGUAAAUUAUUUUCAAAUUACAUGACUUCAUAGGGUGUUGGGACCUGGUGAACAGGUGUCAAUUUUUAUUAUGAGAUGAAACAGGCCGUGUAGGAACUAGCAUUUCUUAAUUUUUAGGAGCUUUCGUUUAACAGUCAAUUUCACUUGAGUUUAUUAAACCUAUUUUAUAAUUGCUCCUUACCUCAUUGUGAAUUACUUUGCUUGCUGACCUAAUUUCAUGUUUUGUUGUUGUUGACCUGCACCUUGAUAUUUAACACUUUGGUAUUGACUUGCAUUGCUUUUCACUAUGCAAAUCUUUUAGUAUAAAUUUACUAAUAGAUACAAGUUCUUUUUUAUGCACAAGUACCAUCAAAAUGAUUAUUGUGAGACAAAAUUUUGAAAUAUUUUGCUUAAUGUACAUGUUUGUCCAACAUUUUGUUUAAAUCCAUUAAAGAUAUUUCCAUAUUUUAUUGUUAACUAGACCCAUUAGACCUGUUGCAUGUUUUAUCGACGAAUGACGUAGCCUGCAGGUUUUUUUCUACAAAAACCACAAAAAAAACGCAUGUUUUUUCAUCGAAAAACGCAACCAGCAGCAGCGUCGCGCAGGUUUUUUCGAUGAACGUUUUCGAAGGACGAUGUAGCCUGCAGAUUUUUUCAGCGAUCUGCAAGUUUUUUUGUCUGGUUUCGGCGAAAAACAACAGCAUGACAACACAGUUCUGCAGGUUCUGGCCCUUUUUUUUACCGGGUUUUGGGAUUGGUUAAAAAAACCGGUUCAGGAUAACCAGUUUUAAAACCGAACUGAUUCGGUUGGGACAGGUUUGGGUUUUAGGUUUCAAAAACCGGUUAGUUACCGGCACGAUUUUUAUCUUUGUAUAAAAUAACUGGUUCGGUUAAAAACCUGACCGGUUUUUCCAGAAAAACCUAUUUGUACACCUCUAUAUUCCACUGCGAUAACCGAUAUGUCAAGUAAUGGUCCUUGACCUAUAUUUGAUAGUUUACCGCAUUAACUACUUAGGUAUUAUAUUCAUUCGUUAAACACAUUAUACGAUCUUUUAAUAUUUUAAGUUUUUUAAUACAUUUUAAGUUUAAAACCGGUGUAAAACUAGCGAGGUCGGCUGACGCACAACCCAACCGGUUUUGUUCGUCAUAGUUCGAAUCAAAACCAUUUAUGACCAGAUAACUGUGUCUUACUUUUUAGGUGUAGUUGGCGGUCCCUUUUUUUACAAAAUUUGCUUCAACCGUCUAAAUGUGUCUUACAUUUUUAGUGUAGAUGGAUUUGUAGAAUGUUGGUUGAUCCUUUAUUUUUUUUUAAUUUAUCCAUUCAGGUGUACGUGGAUUUGUAGAAUGUUGGUUGCUGCUAUUUUUUCAAUUUAUCCAUUCAGUAGGGAUAAUUAAACAUAAGUAUCAAAUAAAACUAUUUAAUAAUAAGUCUUGGAAUUCAUUAACCGUGAUUAUAUCUAAUUAUAUAUCUAAUUCUUUUAUAAACUAUAAAUGGCUUAAUUUUAUACUUCAAAUUAGUACUAAACGCAUAUUGUAAAAAGGCAUAUGGGUUGAACUUGAGGACAAGCUGAUUAAAUGGAGUUUUGCAUCAUGAUCUUUCCAUUAUUUGAAAUUUGAGAGAUUAAAUAUUCCUCAAAAUUUGCUAUAUCUUCACCUGUUUCUCUGGAUCCAGAUACCUAAAGCCAAGCGUAUAGGAUUUAGUACAAGUGGGACGCGAUUUGAGCAAUGCCUACAAACUUAUAAGGUCCUAGCGACAAUUUCCACCCUGAGAAUGUAUGUGUUUUGCCAACAUUGAUGAGGAGGUUUCAUGAUGCCAAAGCUUCCAGAUAUAAGGAAGUGGUGGUGUGGGGUCCAGGGUCACUGCGUGAGUUCUUGCACGUCGAUGAUCUUGCUUAUUUAGUGCCGUUUUUGUUGGAAAAAUAUUCAAUCUGGGUCAUGUUAAUGUGGGAGUGGGAAGGAGGUUCCCAUUAAGGAACUUGCAAAGUUGGUGAAAGAGGUUGACAGGUUUGAGGUAGCGUUUGUGUGGGGAUGGUUCGAAGCUUGAUGAUCGAUGAAGUAGCAACGUCUCAAUGAAUUUCAAAUGUGGUGCAUAAAGAAAAUCUUUAAGGACUUGUGAUUUUUUUCAUAUUAUUUUUUC